GCCCAUGGCUACACCUGCUUCGUGGACAGAACCGAUGGAGGUGGGCUCGUUUGCCCAAGGCAGAGUGUAGGAGAAGGAGGAAUCUGGGCCUCUGCUCCUAUUGUGGAGAAAGGGGUCAUUUCUCCCUGACCUGCCCUCUAUCCACUAAUAGACGAGGAGGUGACAAGCCAGGGAAUUCUCCUGCUCCAACCCAGGAAUUUUGUCCUGUCUACAGUCAGCUCGAGGGUGGUACAUGUGAAUACACAGGGCGGCGUGAUGAAACCGCUACUACGAAAGCAUUGCAAGGCACUGCAUGCUGUGGCCUGUCACCCCCAGCAAGCAGUUGUUGCCUUGGGCAGCCACAGUGGCAUCCUGAAGGUGUGGGACUAUGAGCGCAAGGUGUCCAUCUGCAACAGGGUCUUUGAGAAGGAGAGGCAGAUUCAGUGCGUCGCCUAUGACCACCAAGUGAACAGGAUUAUACUUGGCUGUUGGAUUUGCAAUUGGAGCUGUCCAUGUACUGGAUGCUUGCACAUUGCAGAGUGAGGCAGAGGAGCGACUCAACU
rnacentral:lncRNA from 1 species